rnacentral:lncRNA from 1 species
AUUGACAGAUUUGUUCGAGAAUUCCCUACACUUUUCUCUACUAUAGAGGAUUUCUUGUGGUUCAAAUUAUCUGCUGUACGUGAGACUCCUGUCAGGUCUUCUGUUGUCCUGAAUGAGGGGUUGGCACCUUACACUUUGGAUGAUUUGCAAGCUUACCUAAACAGUCCUGUCAGGUCUUCUGUUGUCCUAAAUGAGGGGUUGGCACCUUACACUUUGGAAGAUUUGCAAGCUUACCUAAACAAGUUUGAGCCAUCACACUAUACUAAGAAUGGAAAGGAUCCUUUGGUUUAUCCUUAUGUUUUGCUUUUAAGCAUCCAGCUACUUCCAGCUGUCCUUUAUUUGUCCAAGGAUAUGGGAGAUGAAGGAUAUAAUGU